rnacentral:lncRNA from 1 species
UGAUGAUCAGGGUGAUGAUGAAGUAAAUCCUACUUUGCAUAUUGCAUGUUUAGGUGAAAAUACAGAUACAAUGGAAUGUUUAUUUCAGAACAAUGCUGAUGAUAAUCAGUGUAAUACGAAUGGUAAGUCAUCAAUGCAUGUAGCCUGUAGAGAAGAACAUAAAGCUAUAGUAGAACUGUUGCUUCAGAAAAAGGCUAAUGUCAAUCAAUGUGAUUCAAAUGGU